GGAAUCAUCUUGUGCACCACACAGGUCAUCGCCAAGGUAAUCAUCAGUGAGGGCAGGUUCCCCUUAGCUUAUUCUAGUUUUGGAAAUCACAGCUGUAUAUUUACACCUGUAUUUCAGGUACAGGACAGAUCUGGCACCUCGGAUAUUUUUCAGGUUCCCUGAAGCACUUUUUGCUUAGGCUUACCUCAUCACAAACAGAUCUCAACUGCACAUCCGCAUGGACAAAAGAUGCAGGCUAAGAAACAUGAAUUUUCCCCUCCCAGAGAGUGAUCUGCACAUAUCUCUGUAUCCUGGGGACCACAGUCCUGUCUGGAAUGGGCACGGCCCUAAACACUGUGUCCCUUAUGGAGACACAGGUUUUCCAAGAAUUCCUUGUACCCACUGCUGCACACAGCAUGGACUGUAGCUCUAUUGUUUUCCUCCAAAUACAGAAGAGAUUUUAUACCACUGGGCUCACAUGAGAAGCCUCCCCCCACGCUCUUCACUCUUUCUGCACCACUGCACCCACCAGGGAAUUUUCAUUUUGCCCCAGGGAGGACAUUCCCUGGCAAGUCUCACAUAAAAUCUGGCUCUAGCUUUGCCUUACCUGAUUAGGAUGCUUCAGUCCCAAUUCUCAUAAUGAGGCUCCCUCUUCAGCUCCUGGGGCUGCUACUGCUCUGGAUCAUUGGAUCCACAGGAGAUGUUGUCAUGACCCAGACCCCACUCUCUGUGUCUGUGGCCCUGGAGAGCUGACCUCCAUCUCCUGCAGGUUCAAUCAGAGCCUCCUACAUAGUGAUGGAAACACCUAUUUGAAUUGGGUGGUGCACAAGCCAGGCCAGGCUCCAAGCCUGUCUGCAGCUCCUGGAGAGCUUCCUGCAUCUCAGAAUAGCAAAGUUGAGGGCUGGCAAUAGUGAGCUCCUGAGACUCCAUGGAUCAUCGAGAAGUGAUGCUUCUUGAAGGGAUCUUAGUCUUACUGACUCCAUGGUGAUUAAAGAUCCUGGCUAAAAGAAACUUUAGUCCUGUGACAUCUCUCUCAUCAAUGUAGCAAGGCAAAGGUGAGCAUCUAAAUUGUGACUCUGCCUCAUCACAUAUUGGGGUUGACAUGAGAGAAGUUGAAUGAUCCUUAUUUUGUCGCCAUCCUUUCCUGCUUCCUGGUAUCCCCUCCGCCUGGGUAGCACUUACACUCUCCUAUACACCGGGUCAUCAAGCCAGGAUCAAGAAAAUAAGUAUGUGAUUUAAUAGGUAGAACAUUAAACACUUUGUGGAAUGUUUUUAGGUCUAAGCUUGUAUUGUCAUAUGUUAUGUUUAUUAAUGUGCACUUGCUGUACUUCUAUGUACAGUGUGGGUAGUUGGCAUUAUGUACAUAACACAUUUUAAUUAUUUUUAAUUCCUCUUGCAACCUUUAUCUUCUCUUCCCUGUCUCUCUAGUUUCCCUAUCAAUUUGCAGAGCAUUUAGCAGCUUAUUUUGUAUUAUCUGUCUUAUUUUGCUAUUUAAUCUAUUAAUACUUUGGAUUUCACAUCUAAGAGAAACAAUGGGAUAUGUACGGUUGUGUGUUGAUAUAUUUCAUCUAACAUAAGGGUCUCAAGCUGCAUUCAUUUUCGUACAAAUGACUCAUUCAUUUUUAUGGCUUGGGAGUACUCCACUGUGUAAGUACAUUUCUUUAUAUCCAUUCAUCUGUCCAUAGUUAUGAGCUGCAUCCAAUAUUGAGUGCUUAUAAGUUGUGCUGCUCUGAACAUGGCUAUGAAUGAAUCAUUGUAAUUAGAUGUCCUGAACCCUUUGUGGAAAAUAACUAGAACCAGAAGAGUGGAGUCAAGCUGAAUUUCUAUUUUUAGGUUUUUGCAGGCUCUGCAUAUAGAGAUCCAUGCUGGUUGUACUAGUUUCCAUCUCUACCAACCAAACAGAAGAGUGUAUUUUUCCCCACAGCCUCACCAAUAUUUCGUGUUAUUUGAUUUCUAUAGGGUGGCCAUUUUUCCUGUGAGAAAAUGUAACCUCACUGUUGUUUUAAUUUGCAUUUUUCUCAGAGCUGGUAAUACUGAAAAUUUCUUUAUAUAUUUACCAUUUAUUCUUCUUCUUCUAAUAACUUAUUGUUCUUCUUCUAAAAACUUAUUAUUCUUUUUCUAAAAACUCUCUGGCCCUUUCAUUUACCCAUUUUUGAUUGACUCUUAUUUAGGAGGUCUGUUGAUUUUAGAGUUUUUUACAUGUUGUCAGUAUUAAUCUCCUUCCUAAUGAGCAUGGGGCAAAGAAUUCUCCUCGUUCUACAUUUUGUUUUUUCACUCUUUCAGCUGCAUCUUUAACUACACAGAAGCAUUUUAAUUUAAUAUAAUUUAAUUUGUUGUUUCUUGAUGUUAUUUCUGGUACACUGGGGUUCUGUUCAAAAAGGCUUUAUUUAUUCUUAUGCUCUCAAAAUUUUAUCUAUAUUAUUAUCUACCUGAAGAUUAAGUGCUUCUGUAUUAAAGUCCAGGCUUUUGAUUCAUAUUUAUUAUAUUUUACUGUAUGAUGAGAAAUACAGGUUUAGGCUGAAUAUUCUCACUGUGUAGCCAGUUUUCCUAAUGCUAUCUGUUAAACAGGCUGUCUUUCCACCAAGCACAGAUAUUUGAGGAAGCUCUGUACAUUUAAUCUGUCCAAUUAUUGAAAACAGGCUCACACAGAACAGUUUUUGUGCAAGAUCCUUUCUGUUGUCUUCCUCACAUGCUCUUCUAGUCAUAAGAAUCCAACCUCACACACAACCCUACCCCAGCCAAGUACAGAACACAAACCAUUCUCCAUGUUACACAAAACCCAGUGUCUAAUGUGGGCUAAUGAUCUUGUGAUAUCCGCUUAUACUCCUGCUCUCAACCCAGCACCUGAUCACAACGGUCAUGAUUAAAUGCUCCACUUCCAGAUACCACCUUCUAAGUGAAAGAGCCACCACACUCUCAUCAGGGUCAGAGUCACAAUGGGGAGCCUGCUGAGCAGGGGCAAUGGUACCUGGCAAGGAAGUGAGGAGGAGAAGAAUUCAGCAAUCCAUGGGUAAAAAGCAGGCCAAGGGAACAGACAUUGGGAGAAAGCAGGUCUGGUAAGAUGUACAGUUAGUCAGUAGAGAGCAGGCAGGGCAGACCACACAGGAACUCUUUGCAGAGCUCAGAAAAGUCCCAAUUCCAAGACUGCAGGUUUAGCUCAGUGGCAGAGUGCUUCAUUAGGAUCCUGAGAGCCUGGCUUCACUCUUAAAUAUCCACAAACAGAAGAAACAGAUAGAAGAAAGCUCCCAUCUUCAUCCAUCACCAGACCAGUCUCCUCUGAAUCUGUGGACAUGGAUCAGGACAUGAGGAGUGUUCAGGGUUCUGUACCAGAUUCGAAACUCAGCAGCCAAGGAUGGCAACCAGGCUUGGGUCUUGGGGACCACAGCAAUAAAUCACUGAAAACUUUAAGAACAUAGCUGAUUUCAUGUAUUUCUUUAUUUUGGGUGAAUUAUUUUUAUUAUCAUUAUUUUGUGUUUCAUAUGAGAGAUGGAUCAUUCAUACAUUCAAAUGAAAAAUCACAGCAUUGGGGACAAUUCCUUGACUUACACAGGAUGGCUAAGAUGAACAGCUGGGGAUGUCAUGCUGCAUCUGAUGAGAUCUCCUCCAUACCUCCUCCAUUGGGAAGAAAACCUCUGGCCAGAGAAAGAUACCCUCAAGCAUUCACGCAUCAGGAUUGUUAAGUUUUUUGCCAGCAAAUGAAGACUUCAGCUCUUGAAAUGCUCUAAUCAGCUCUCAGACAGGUUCAGGACCUUCACAUCACCCGAGGCUUAGGAAGUCCACAAAUCAAGUGACAUUAGGGCUCAUUGUUGGGAGACCACACUCUGUCCACUGAUGAGAUUUUGCACAUGAGCUCAGGUCCAUAUUCCAGUCUCACCAUUUAACACUGUGUAUGCACUGUCUCCAAUUGUAGAGCAAAAUACCAUGUAGAUCUUACUUUUGCAUUGUCUACGAAAUUAUAGUUAAGACUAUUACUCAACUCAGUUCUUAACACUCCCAUGCAAUUCCCUGAGAGAAACAUGAUCCUCAAAAUUUUGCACUACAAAAACAAUGAGCCAGAUUUAAGAACAGGAAUUCUUCCACAAAUGAGAAAUCUAUAACAUAAUACUUUACUUUCUUUGCACUGGGGUCCAAGAAGCUCAGUGUUAGAGCAUAUCCACGGUCAUGGGACUUUUUUUCCUUUUAGGAUAGUUAUGUAGUAUUAAAAUUUAUGUUUAUGAAAAGUAAACAUUUCAGGACAUAUUUCUAUUGAUUUUGAUACAUACAUACAUACAUACAUACACACACACACACACACACACAUACAUCUUCAAAAACCUAUUUGGUCUUUAGAGCAGGUCCAGCAUCCUUAGACAUUCCAGGGUGCACUCUGUUCACUCACCACAAACACACCUAAGACUCACUGCUUGCCUACCCCUGCAUAAACUCUCUGGAUGUUUCACAUGUUCAUAUGCAGCUUUCCUGUAAUGAGAACAUCACAAACUAUUUGAAUUGUUGUUUUUCUCUAUAGAAAAGGUUGUUUUAAGCUUUGUAGAAUAUAUAUCAAUUAUUCUUGUUUUCAUAAUUCUGUGGGUUUCUCAAGUGUAGGUGAAGCUCUCAUCUUGGUGCAUCCCCAUUACAUCUGUGCAUGGCACCACCCACAUCACCAGGUGUUUUACCUGAUAGCAUUCAACAUGUCUGUUAUCGCAGUAAACACCUGCAUACCAAGCAAGUAAAGAAAGGCCACUUCAUAGAGAGACAACUUGAAGAUCCAGUGCAGAACUUCAACAAUUACAAGUGGUCCAUGAGACUCAUCUUCAUCGCUUCUAUGCUUCAAAGAACAGUCAGUGCUUAUUUCCAUUUGAAAGUGGAUGCAUGAAUGGAAUUAGUUAGCACAUUGCAAGUUUUUCUUCUUCAGAAACAGACUUCUUUUAAUGAACUGAAUUUGAAAUUAACUGACUGUGAAGUAGAAUAUCUGGGGAACCCUUAAUUCCUGUGGACUGAGGAUCUUCAGUGCUGACAUCUGGAAAGCACACAAGGAGGCAGCACACACAGGAGCAGCCUAGAGAGGGGCCGGGAGAUAAAAUUCUGACAGAUGGAAAGGUAAGGGACACAGUCUCAGGCACACCUCUAGGAGCUGAAGAAUCACAGAUUCCCUUCUAGAUCGUCCAGAGUGAGUUCAUCCUGACAGCAUCCUGGCUCUAUCACACUAAGGACUGAGAUGUACUUAUGACCUCCAGAACUGUAAAAUGAUGACUUUUGAAUGUUCAAGACAUAAUUGCAUACAAAGUCUUACUGUACAAAUAAAAAAGUAAUGUGAAUGUC